GGGGGGUUGUCUGUAUUUGGCUGCAUAGACCGGUUGUCAACAGGCCCCGUCAACAAACCCUCGUCUCCAUAGAAACGUCCAAAUACACGGGAGAAGAGAGGCAGGCUCUCCGCCUCUGCAGCCGGUCAAAUAUCGUGGUGUUUUCCCUCCCUGGCCGUGGCUGCAGACUCAGCUCCACAUGCAUUAAGGCCAAGAUGUGAUGAGGAUUGGCUCAAAAUCGUCUCAGUUUCAAUAAAGGAAAUGUUCGACCUGCUGUUGGUUUGAGGCGUGACGUCAUCAGGCCACCCUGCAGCUCCUCUUCUCUGGGUGUUUGCAGAGAGAGAUGUAAUGGCUGAAUAAAGUGGCAGUGAUUCCAACUGGGAAAAUACAGGUGAUGAAGGGGUAACUGGGUUCAGGAAGGUAUACCACACUUCCUCCUCUUCUUCCUCCUCCUCCUCCUCCAGCAGCGCCUCGUUAAGCUCGUUACUGUUUUACACACUUCUGUAAAUGACUGAGAGGUUUCCUGAAGGCGAACAAAUCAAACACACCCAGUGAGGCGACGGCUGUGAAGCAGCAGCAUGACGCCGCGCCACCGCCAACACACACACACACACACACACACACACACACACACACACACACACACAUACACAUACACAUAAACCUGAUUAAAAACAACACUACACAUGUUGUG